rnacentral:lncRNA from 1 species
AGGUAGGAGUCAAUUCAUGUUGCAAAUGAAGAGCACUCAAUGAUCAAACAAAGAGGAUUCAUCAAGAAGAGUGAAUAAAAAAAAACAAAAGAAAAAAACAAAAAGAACAACAAAAAAUCACAAAGUGAUGUUGAGCAAAAAGAAUGAAAAACGAAGUUCAAGAAAAAAAAACAAAGUGCUCAAAAAGUCAAAUAGUUGAUGCAAUACUUAGAUGAUAACCCUUGUUUCAAAAAAAUAACCAACAAACGUUCAUUUGGGCCUUUUAUAUCCUUUCUUUCAAUACCUUUUAUAUCCUUUCUUUCAAUACCUUUUAGCCCUUAGCCACGCAGAUUGGAUAAUGUUUGCUCAAUUUUUCAUAAAGCUUAAUUUUGCGAUACGGCAAAAUGACUUUCAAUGUGUUGCAAAAAAAAAAAGUUGAAAAUGAAAAUGAAAAAAAGAGAAGAAGAUAACGUCUCGGGAAGAGGGGAUCUCUUUGUCAACUAGCCAAAAGCAUGUAAAAGAAAAAUCAAACUAAUUUGGGACCAUCCUUUUAGUCGAUCCUUUUCAUGUCCAAUACCUCUUCCAAAUGGAACCCCUUGCCAAAAAAACACCGGGACAACUUUGUGAGUCUCACCCGAGUUUUUCAUCGACCCAUACCACAAUAAACAAAGAAAAAAAAGCAAACGAAAAAUUGGGCGGCUUUGUGAGUCUCACACAAGUUUCUCAUCAAUCCAUAACCUCAAGACUGGGGCAGCUUUGAAAAUCUCAUUUGAAAUUUUCUCACCCAAACUUUCAUGGAUCCAAACCCCAGCUCAUUCUCCAUAACAUCAAGCUGGGGCACCCUUUGUGUAUCUCGUGUUCACCCUGACAUUCUCGUAUCACAUCUCCUUUGAGGAUUAUAUAAGGAAUGACCUGUCCAUACAGUUAUCCCAUUCUCCUCUAAACCCUUCUAAACAUCUUUCAUUUCUCCACUUGCCAACAAAUUCAAGCAUGUGUGCACUGAUGUCUC